rnacentral:rRNA from 1 species
GAUGAACGCUAGCGGGAGGCUUAACACAUGCAAGCCGAGGGGUAUAGUUCUUUCGGGAACUAGAGACCGGCGCACGGGUGCGUAACGCGUAUGCAACUUGCCCUACUGAAAAGGAUAGCCCUUCGAAAGGAGGAUUAAUACUUUAUAACAGAUUUAAUGGCAUCAUUAGAUUUUGAAAGAUUUAUCGCAGUAGGAUAGGCAUGCGUAAGAUUAGUUAGUUGGUGAGGUAACGGCUCACCAAGACGAUGAUCUUUAGGGGGCCUGAGAGGGUGAACCCCCACACUGGUACUGAGACACGGACCAGACUCCUACGGGAGGCAGCAGUGAGGAAUAUUGGACAAUGGGUGGAAGCCUGAUCCAGCCAUCCCGCGUGUAGGAUGACGGCCUUAUGGGUUGUAAACUACUUUUAUCUGGGGAUAAACCUACUUACGUGUAAGUAGCUGAAGGUACCAGAAGAAUGAGCACCGGCUAACUCCGUG